rnacentral:rRNA from 1 species
UACGUAGGUGGCAAGCGUUGUCCGGAAUUAUUGGGCGUAAAGGGCUCGUAGGCGGUCUGUCGCGUCGGGAGUGAAAACUCAGGGCUUAACCCUGAGCCUGCUUCCGAUACGGGCAGACUAGAGGUAUGCAGGGGAGAACGGAAUUCCUGGUGUAGCGGUGGAAUGCGCAGAUAUCAGGAGGAACACCGGUGGCGAAGGCGGUUCUCUGGGCAUUACCUGACGCUGAGGAGCGAAAGUAUGGGGAGCGAACAGG